rnacentral:rRNA from 1 species
AUUGAACGCUGGCGGCAGGCCUAACACAUGCAAGUCGAACGAGUGGCGGACGGGUGAGUAAUGUCUGGGAAACUGCCCGAUGGAGGGGGAUAACUACUGGAAACGGUAGCUAAUACCGCAUACCAUCGGAUGUGCCCAGAUGGGAUUGGCUAGUAGGUGGGGUAACGGCUCACCUAGGCGACGAUCCCUAGCUGGUCUGAGAGGAUGACAAGCCAAACUGUAACUGAGAAACGGUCCAGACUCCUACGGGAGGCAGCAGUGGGGAAUAUUGAACAAGGGGCGCAAGCCUGAGGAAGCCAUGCCGCGUGUGUGAAGAAGGCCUUCGGGUUGUAAAGUACUUUAAGCGAGGAGGCGUUACUCGCAGAAGAAGCACCGGCUAACUCCGUGCCAGCAGCCGCGGUAAUAC